CCACGGGCGGCUGCAGUGAGGAAUAUUGCACAAUGGGGGGAACCCUGAUGCAGCAACGCCGCGUGGAGGAUGACGCAUUUCGGUGUGUAAACUCCUUUUAUAUGUCAAGAAAAUGACGGUAGCAUAUGAAUAAGCACCGGCUAACUCCGUGCCGGCAGCCGCGGUAAUACGGAGGGUGCAAGCGUUACUCGGAAUCACUGGGCGUAAAGGACGCGUAGGCGGGUUGGAAAGUCAGGUGUGAAAUCCUACAGCUUAACUGUAGAACUGCACUUGAAACUUCUAAUCUAGAGUAUGGGAGGGGGAGAUGGAAUUAGUGGUGUAGGGGUAAAAUCCGUAGAUAUCACUAGGAAUACCUAAAGCGAAGGCGAUCUCCUGGAACAUUACUGACGCUAAGGCGUGAAAGCGUGGGGAGCAAACAGGAUUAGAUACCCUUGUAGUC
rnacentral:rRNA from 1 species